UGCGUAGGCGGAUUAAUAAGUCAGUGGUGAAAACCUGCAGCUUAACUGUAGAACUGCCAUUGAUACUGUUAGUCUUGAGUACGGUCAAGGUAGGCGGAAUGUGUAAUGUAGCGGUGAAAUGCUUAGAUAUUACACAGAACACCGAUUGCGAAGGCAGCUUACUGGACCAUUACUGACGCUGAGGCACGAAAGCGUGGGUAGCGAACAGGAUUAGAUACCCUGGUAGUCC
rnacentral:rRNA from 1 species